rnacentral:tRNA from 1 species
GAGGUUUUAGCUUAAUUAAAGUGUCUGAGUUGCAAUCAGGAGAUGUAGUUGUGAAUUUACAGGCCUUCAGAA